CGAAUGCUGACAUAAGUAACGAUAAAGCGGGUGAAAAGCCCGCUCGCCGGAAGACCAAGGGUUCCUGUCCAACGUUAAUCGGGGCAGGGUGAGUCGACCCCUAAGGCGAGGCCGAAAGGCGUAGUCGAUGGGAAACAGGUUAAUAUUCCUGUACUUGGUGUUACUGCGAAGGGGGGACGGAGAAGGCUAUGUUGGCCGGGCGACGGUUGUCCCGGUUUAAGCGUGUAGGCUGGUUUUCCAGGCAAAUCCGGAAAAUCAAGGCUGAGGCGUGAUGACGAGGCACUACGGUGCUGAAGCAACAAAUGCCCUGCUUCCAGGAAAAGCCUCUAAGCAUCAGGUAACAUCAAAUCGUACCCCAAACCGACACAGGUGGUCAGGUAGAGAAUACCAAGGCGCUUGAGAGAACUCGGGUGAAGGAACUAGGCAAAAUGGUGCCGUAACUUCGGGAGAAGGCACGCUGAUAUGUAGGUGAAGCGACUUGCUCGUGGAGCUGAAAUCAGUCGAAGAUACCAGCUGGCUGCAACUGUUUAUUAAAAACACAGCACUGUGCAAACACGAAAGUGGACGUAUACGGUGUGACGCCUGCCCGGUGCCGGAAGGUUAAUUGAUGGGGUCAGCGCAAGCGAAGCUCUUGAUCGAAGCCCCGGUAAACGGCGGCCGUAACUAUAACGGUCCUAAGGUAGCGAAAUUCCUUGUCGGGUAAGUUCCGACCUGCACGAAUGGCGUAAUGAUGGCCAGGCUGUCUCCACCCGAGACUCAGUGAAAUUGAACUCGCUGUGAAGAUGCAGUGUACCCGCGGCAAGACGGAAAGACCCCGUGAACCUUUACUAUAGCUUGACACUGAACAUUGAGCCUUGAUGUGUAGGAUAGGUGGGAGGCUUUGAAGUGUGGACGCCAGUCUGCAUGGAGCCGACCUUGAAAUACCACCCUUUAAUGUUUGAUGUUCUAACGUUGACCCGUAAUCCGGGUUGCGGACAGUGUCUGGUGGGUAGUUUGACUGGGGCGGUCUCCUCCUAAAGAGUAACGGAGGAGCACGAAGGUUGGCUAAUCCUGGUCGGACAUCAGGAGGUUAGUGCAAUGGCAUAAGCCAGCUUGACUGCGAGCGUGACGGCGCGAGCAGGUGCGAAAGCAGGUCAUAGUGAUCCGGUGGUUCUGAAUGGAAGGGCCAUCGCUCAACGGAUAAAAGGUACUCCGGGGAUAACAGGCUGAUACCGCCCAAGAGUUCAUAUCGACGGCGGUGUUUGGCACCUCGAUGUCGGCUCAUCACAUCCUGGGGCUGAAGUAGGUCCCAAGGGUAUGGCUGUUCGCCAUUUAAAGUGGUACGCGAGCUGGGUUUAGAACGUCGUGAGACAGUUCGGUCCCUAUCUGCCGUGGGCGCUGGAGAACUGAGGGGGGCUGCUCCUAGUACGAGAGGACCGGAGUGGACGCAUCACUGGUGUUCGGGUUGUCAUGCCAAUGGCACUGCCCGGUAGCUAAAUGCGGAAGAGAUAAGUGCUGAAAGCAUCUAAGCACGAAACUUGCCCCGAGAUGAGUUCUCCCUGACUCCUUGAGAGUCCUGAAGGAACGUUGAAG
rnacentral:rRNA from 1 species